GAUGAACGCUGGCGGCGUGCCUAAUACAUGCAAGUCGAGCGAACGGACGAGAAGCUUGCUUCUCUGAUGUUAGCGGCGGACGGGUGAGUAACACGUGGAUAACCUACCUAUAAGACUGGGAUAACUUCGGGAAACCGGAGCUAAUACCGGAUAAUAUUUUGAACCGCAUGGUUCAAAAGUGAAAGACGGUCUUGCUGUCACUUAUAGGUGGAUCCGCGCUGCAUUAGCUAGUUGGUAAGGUAACGGCUUACCAAGGCAACGAUGCAUAGCCGACCUGAGAGGGUGAUCGGCCACACUGGAACUGAGACACGGUCCAGACUCCUACGGGAGGCAGCAGUAGGGAAUCUUCCGCAAUGGGCGAAAGCCUGACGGAGCAACGCCGAGUGAGUGAUGAAGGUCUUCGGAUCGUAAAACUCUGUCAUUAGGGAAGAACAGAUGUGUAAGUAACUGUGCACAUCUUGACGGUACCUAAUCAGAAAGCCACGGCUAACUACGUG
rnacentral:rRNA from 1 species